rnacentral:rRNA from 1 species
CCUACGGGCGGCAGCAGUGGGGAAUAUUGGGCAAUGGGCGCAAGCCUGACCCAGCAACGCCGCGUGAAUGAAGAAGGCUUUCGGGUUGUAAACUUCUUUUCUCAGGGACGAAGAAGAUGACGGUACCUUAGGAAUAAGCCACGGCUAACUACGUGCCAGCAGCCGCGGUAAGACGUAGGUGGCAGGCGUUAUCCGGAUUUAUUGGGUGUAAGGGGCGUGUAGGCGGGAGCGCAAGUCAGAUGUGAAAACUCAGGGCUCAACCCUGAGACUGCAUUUGAAACUGUGUUACUGGAGUGCUGGAGAGGCAAUCGGAAUUCCGUGUGUAGCGGUGAAAUGCGUAGAUAUACGGAGGAACACCAGUGGCGAAGGCAGAUUGCUGGACAGUAACUGACGCUGAGGCGCGAAAGCGUGGGGAGCAAACAGGAUUAGAUACCCUUGUAGUC